AGUAAUGCAUCGGAACAUGUCCAUGUCGUGGGGGAUAGCCCGGCGAAAGCCGGAUUAAUACCGCAUACGCCCGAGAGGGGAAAGUGGGGGACCGCAAGGCCUCACGCGAUUGGAUUGGCCGAUGUCCGAUUAGCUAGUUGGCGGGGUAAAGGCCCACCAAGGCGAUGAUCGGUAGCUGGUCUGAGAGGAUGAUCAGCCACACUGGGACUGAGACACGGCCCAG
rnacentral:rRNA from 1 species